rnacentral:rRNA from 1 species
GAUGAACGCUGGCGGCGUGCCUAAUACAUGCCAGUCGAGCGAACAGACGAGGAGCUUGCUCCUCUGACGUUAGCGGCGGACGGGUGAGUAACACGUGGAUAACCUACCUAUAAGACUGGGAUAACUUCGGGAAACCGGAGCUAAUACCGGAUAAUAUAUUGAACCGCAUGGUUCAAUAGUGAAAGACGGUUUUGCUGUCACUUAUAGAUGGAUCCGCGCCGCAUUAGCUAGUUGGUAAGGUAACGGCUUACCAAGGCAACGAUGCGUAGCCGACCUGAGAGGGUGAUCGGCCACACUGGAACUGAGACACGGUCCAGACUCCUACGGGAGGCAGCAGUAGGGAAUCUUCCGCAAUGGGCGAAAGCCUGACGGAGCAACGCCGCGUGAGUGAUGAAGGUCUUCGGAUCGUAAAAAUCUGUUAUUAGGGAAGAACAAAUGUGUAAGUAACUAUGAACGUCUUGACGGUACCUAAUCAGAAAGCCACGGCUAACUACGUG